CCUACGGGUGGCUGCAGUGAGGAAUAUUGGUCAAUGGGCGCAAGCCUGAACCAGCCAUGCCGCGUGCAGGACUAAGGCCCUAUGGGUUGUAAACUGCUUUUGUACGGGAAGAAACACCGAUUCGUGAAUCGGCUUGACGGUACCGUAAGAAUAAGGAUCGGCUAACUCCGUGCCAGCAGCCGCGGUAAUACGGAGGAUCCAAGCGUUAUCCGGAAUCAUUGGGUUUAAAGGGUCCGUAGGCGGGCCUGUAAGUCAGUGGUGAAAUCCGGCGGCUU
rnacentral:rRNA from 1 species